GACAUGCUAACUCUUGGUCAUGAAAUUGGUUCUUUGGAAAAAGAAUGUUGUUUGAGUGGCAGAUUGAUGCUUCGGACACAGGUCUAGGUGCCAUGCUGAGCCAAAGCAUCGAUGGUGUCGAACACCACGUGAUGUCCCCAAGCCAGAAACUGAUGGACCGGGAGACAAGGAAAGAUGAAAAUCCACCGCUGUGAGUUCACCAUCUGAGGAUGUGAGGAUGUCACCACUACCCAUCCACCACAGUGGUUCCUUCCCAGCAUCCUGUGCCAAUUUCUGUCCCCACCUCAUAAAUACUUCGACUGUC